rnacentral:piRNA from 1 species
UCUGAGGUGGACACAGUAUUUCUCACAGCUU